rnacentral:tRNA from 1 species
GAUCCAGUGUUCAUAGGGGUUUCUGGCCGAACAUCCCGGUCUCGAAAACCGGUAUGGGGUCUCACUCCAUCGGGGGUUCGAAUCCCCCCCUCU